rnacentral:tRNA from 5 species
GCGGGAGUGGUGGAAUCGGCAGACACGCAGGAUUUAGGUUCCUGUGCCUUCGGGCGUGAGGGUUCAAGUCCCUCCUUCCGCA